UACGAGGGGUGCAAGCGUUAUUCGGAAUAACUGGGCGUAAAGGGUGCGUAGACGGUACAUUAAGCUUGUUGUUAAAUUCCCUGGCCUAACUGGGGGUAAGCGGUGAGAACUGAUGUGCUAGAGGGUGAGAGAGAGAAGUGGAAUUUCCGGAGUAGCGGUAAAAUGCGUAGAUCUCGGAAGGAACACCAAUGGCGAAGGCAGCUUCUUGGCUCAUACCUGACGUUGAGGCACGAAAGCGUGGGGAGCAAACAGG
rnacentral:rRNA from 1 species